AAAAGCCUUCAAUUUUCUCAAAGUGAACAGUGCGCCUUAUAAUCUGAUGCGCCUUAUACAGUGGUACCUUGACAUAUGAUCGCUUCGACACACGAUCUUUUUGACAUCCGACGUAAAUUUAACUCGCAAUUUUGUUUCUAUAUCUGACGACAUGCUCGAAAUACGACGAUUUGUGACAGCGACGCAGUUUCUUAUUUUUCCCGCAAGACGGGCGCACAGCGGAUUUUCUUGUGAGAGAAAUCAACAUGGGUUCCAAGAAUGUUAGUGCAGGUCGUGAAAAAAAGGGGAUGCUUACCAUUGAAAUGAAGAUGGAAAUGAAAUGAUAGAAAAAUAUAUGCGUGGCGCGCGAGUCCGUGAACUCGACAGUACGCCGUUCAAUGUGUAUGAUUUCGACUGUCCUCUUCUGACCUCUGUUCGCCAGUCUUUACAUGUUAAGGUGACAAUUAUUAUUGUGGUAACGUCACCAUCUUUAUCAGGUUUUUAAUAAUUUAUUUCAGAACUUGUGCAACACAACAUGCCUACUGUCAUCCGCAGCAAAACAAAGUGAAAGUAAAUAGUCUCUCUGUCACUUUCAAGUCAGCCACGCGGUGCGUUCAACCAUUUCGACUUACAAACAAGGUCCUGAAACGAAUUAACUUCGUAUGUAAAGAUACCACUGUAUAUUGGUUAAUCAUGGAAUUAUAGUCCCUUUUGUGCAGCUCAAUCUAGUGGAUGCAUAACGCAACCCCAACCAAUAUUACCCCACUACCACUAAUGCGCCUUAUAAUGCAGUGCGCUCUAUAUAUGAGAACAACUUUUAAAAAGGCCAUUCAUUGACGGUGCGCCUUAUACACUAAUGUGCCUGAUGGUGUGGAAAAUACAGUGAUUCAACAAAAUGUAUAAUUAAAAAAAAAAAGUAGAAUAAAUCGCAUAGUGCACAACUUGCCCCCCACAUUUUAAAAACCAACAUGGAGAGAAUAUAAGACCAAAUGCCACAAAAGAUUUGAAUCCACAACCUCUGAACUAUGCGUACAAAUGUUUCAAUGUUAAGCCCCCUCUGACAUAUACCAAGUAAGGUGGCACACUUAAUAUUAUUACUUCCAGCCAAUUAAAAACGGUCUGUUUGAUUUACUUGUUUGCUUUGAUUGUAGCGGAAUAUGGUAACUCCUCCUGUUGAUGACGCCGUUAUGACUCUGUCUUGGUCCAGGAACUACAAAAACAUAAAAUUAGCACAUAUUCAAAUAUUUAUACAAUUUGCAAUUGUAUUUUUAAAAAUACCUGCAACAUGAAACAAUUAUCAGAGAAUCCCAAAAUUUGAAAAAUAAGGUCCUAAUGAAACAUUUUUUUCAAAUUUGUAAAACGAAAAGUCAAAAUGAAAUUGUGUAAUAAGCGCUCUAAUAUCUAUUAAACCCUUGCUAAAUCCCGUUUUUUUUUUUCUCAUGGAACCUGCAGAUGCAUGUGUUGACUUGCAUCAAUCACUUUUACUUUCAAAAAGAAAUGUCAAAAUUACCAAUUAGUCUCAAAAUCAUGAAAUUUUAGGUGUAUCAAAUGUGAUACAUUUGGCAAUAAAGGGCUAAACCAACCAGGGAUAUCAAUCAGGCUCAUGAAGCCGUAUCAAUGUGAUAGCAUUUUAACAAGCAGGGGUACAGUACAGACACACAGUAAUUGAUACUGGUAAUGGUCCUUGCCUUAUCAUGAAACCAGAAUACCGUAAUGGCUUAAUAUUGUCACGUUUAAUGAGCUACUUACUUGAAAAUCAAGAACAUCUCCCUCAUGUUUGUGUUCGCACAAUAGCUGCGGAUCUUCAUCGAAUCCCUCCCCCAAAGAAGAAUGUCCUUGAUUUCCAAUAGACCAAAAAGUAACUCUGUUGUCCUGCAAGAGAUGUGCAAUUUCAAGUUAGAGAUGGAAUAUAAUGUCAUGUGGGAUAGCUUUGGGAACUCUCUUCCAACAGAAAUCUGUGGUGCUUCUUCCUUGAAAUUCCUCAAGCACCAUCUUUCAGCAUACAGUUUACCAGAAGUGGGUAGACAAAUAUUUUACUCAUGUAAAAGUAGCAUUGCUCCUUUAAAAAAUAUUACUCAAGUAAAAGCAGGAAUCCAAAAAUAUACUCAAGUACAAGUUAAAAAAAAAAAAAUGUUGAAAAGAAUACUCAAGUAAUGUGUAACAUUGUGAGUAACUGCUCGCAGUGUCUGAUUUUUUUUCAGCACAACUUUUAACUGUAUGAGCUGUUGUUAUUAUUAUACUAUAACAUGAUGACAUAUUAUGUUAUUAUAUUACAUGACCAUACUAGGUCAAAACGAUGUCAGAUAAAUCACUGAAUUCAACAAGAACAACACUGUGAUUCACCCGUCCUAAAAGCAUGAGUGCUCUCUAGUAGAGAAAAAAAAACAUUGUUAGUUCUGAUUGGUAUAAUGGAGUCACGUGGUUAUUGUUGCAGUGGCUCGAAACUGGAGACUGCCACUGUCGGCAUCUCUGUCAAAAAAAAAAAAAAAUCAAUAUGAAGUAUAAAGACGUAAAAUCGAGUGUAGCCCAAAGUAGUGGAGUAAGAGUAGUUGGGCUGCAGCUAUCGAUUAUUUUAGUAGUCGAUUAAUCGAUGAACCAUUAGUUCGAAUAAUCGAGUAAUCGGAUAAGGAACAUGAAAAAUUAAAUUACCUGAGCUGAGCCUCAAACGGUAUAAAAAAUAAAUAAUGGAGGAUCUAUGUACAACAAAAGAACAAUUGGCUAACUUAGAUAGAAAAAGUCCGCGAGUUCAAAUGCUAUAAAAUACUAACUUUUUAACAAUGACCUUAGCACAUGGUUCAGACACAUAUUCCCAUAAAAAUAGGCUAAAUAUACCUAUAAACUAUUUUACAAAUGCAUUAAAAAAAACAUUAGCUCAAAUAAAAACAUAGCUUAUGUUGGUCUUCACAGGGAGCACCUGGAUUCAGCCAUGUGAAAUGAGGCAAACUACAAGGCAGUGUAUCCACCCAAAUCAAUAAAACUAAAGCAAACACUUUCAAAAUAAACCAUUACAACGCCACAUUAAUUAAACGAAUACUUGAAGCAGCAAAAUUUGAUUCGAAUCUUUUUCCCUAAUCGAGUACUCGAGUUAAUCGAUUAAUCGUUGCAGCACUAAAGAGUAGUGUUUCUUCACAAAUCUACUCAAGUAAAAAGUAUUGUACUUAUAGUAGUUUUACCGCACAUUUUUCUCAAAAAGUGACACAAGUAAAUGUAACUGAUUAAAUGUAACACGUUACUACCCACCUCUGUAUUUUACAUUAUAAAAUGCCAUUUCAGUAGAUUUUUCUAGUUAGUCUGCCUUUUAUCACCCCCUUACACAUUGGCUGCCAUUGACGGCACAAGACGUCUAAACCAUUCUGACUGGGAGGCCUGCAAUGAUCAUUCGUCUAGCGUCGUUAAUGGUUCUAAAACACGAGCAUUUACACCCAGUUCUCCCACUUUAAUUAAAUGGAUUAGACAAUGACUUUUGCGUGUUAAUUUCACCCUUUGCAGAUGACACGAAGUUUACAAAAAGGUAACAAGUAAAUUCCUGUCAUUUUAUCUAAAUGAUGUGAAUACGAAUACACACGUUAACAACACGUCUGUGACACGGAAAAAACGCAGCUCAUUGUCACAAGCGCAUUGAUUAAAAGCAUGAGCAGCAUAUUAUUUUAAUGUAAAAGAACGACUAACCUCGUUAUCCCAAGAACCAGUCGCAAAGAUUUCGGGCUGUUGUAGAGACGAAAGCGAUACCGGCCGCCAUCUCACUUUGCUGAUUUUCUGAGACACAUAUUUCGCAUUAACACUUUCCAUUUGAGUGGAAUCGUUUGUUUUUAUUUUAAAAACACACGUUUAUGUGCUAGCUUUAGCUUCGGACACCAAAUAGCCCGCGUUUGCUUCCUUCGACGUCACACUACGGAAUCGCAUUGGGACAAACUUCAACCUAAAGGAAAUACCGCCAACGCUUCCUAGCGGUCAUAAUCGCCACUACAAGUGUAAAUCUCAUAAUCCAAUGAGUGAGCGAUGUUCAAUUAACCUUGUGGAGGAGGCAUUAUUUGAACAUAUUUUGAUGCUCGUGAAAUGAACCCGCCCUGCAGUAGGUAUCGUGAAAGACGAGCCGCCUCUGUUUAAUUUGACCGUGGAUGUCUGGUGACGUAUCCGCUGCUCCGUCUGCUUUGGAGGUUGCCAGCUUCCUCGGCAAAACACUUGGCGCAGGCGCGGCACUGACGGCUGCUGUCUACUUAGCCCGCAAAGUCUGCCUAAUAAUGGCGUGGAAAUCCGGAGGAGCAAGCCACGCAGAGCUAGUCAACAACCUGCGCAAAAAUGGCAUCAUUAAGUCCGACAAAGUCUAUGAAGUUAUGCUGGCCACGGACCGAGCUCAUUUCUCUAGGUGUAACCCUUAUAUGGACUCACCACAGUCAAUAGGCUUCCAAGCAACCAUCAGCGCCCCACAUAUGCACGCAUAUGCCCUGGAGCUUCUACAUGACCAGCUGUACGAGGGUGCCAAGGCCCUGGACGUGGGCUCAGGCAGCGGAAUCCUCUCUGUUUGUUUUGCACGAAUGGUAGGUCCAGAAGGGAAAGUUAUUGGCAUUGACCACAUCAAAGAGCUGGUUGACGACUCUAUAAACAAUGUGAAAAAAGACGACCCCAGUUUGAUCACAUCGGGAAGAGUUACUCUAAAAGUGGGAGAUGGACGACUGGGCUGCGUGGAGGAGGCACCUUACGACGCCAUUCAUGUUGGAGCAGCGGCAUCAACAGUCCCUCAAGCUCUCUUGGACCAGUUGAAACCUGGCGGUCGUCUCAUUUUGCCCGUGGGUCCGGCAGGGGGGAACCAAAUGUUGGAGCAAUAUGACAAGAUGGAGGAUGGCAGCACCAAAAUGAAGCCCCUGAUGGGGGUGAUAUAUGUGCCUUUAACAGACAAAGACAAGCAGUGGUCCAGGUGGAAGUGACUUCCUUCUUCACCCCCCUUCCCACUCUCUCCUUCUCACAGUGGAAAAGGUGAAAUGGGCGUGGCUUGGUUCAGGCAACGGAUCACAAAGGGGCUGCAUUUUGCUGCUUGUUGACAUAUUUUGCUUCAUCCAUACCAUGCCAAGUAGCUGCACGUUUCCUUCCUGUUUAUUUUUUUUUUAACACUGAAAUCACACAUCGGGAUGAGCUCUGAACAGGAAGACAGUCCGUAUUCCACCUUUUUAAUUUCAAACCUGGACCGAAACACAGACUGGUAUAGGGAGGGGGGGUGGUAUUAUGCAGUCCUUACAUUUUUCCCCAACUCAUAACAAAACUUCUAACUUAAGUUGAUUUAUUAACCGUGAUGGACUGUAAAGAUUCACUGAACUGUGAGUAAAGGCUGUACUAAACUGGAGCCUUUUCAUAAGCUAAAUGUAAUUUUCUGUUGUGAUUUGAUUAUUUUGAAUGCAGUCAGCAAUAUAUAUAUAUAUAUAGUAUUGCAUUUUUAAUUUUCUUGCAUCGGAUUUACAUUAUUAAAGCCUAAGAUUCAUGGGUUUUCCAUACAGCUCCAGUGUGUUUGUUGUCUAACUUUCAAUAUCUGCAAAUAGAUUAGUUGAGAGCACCCCCCUACCACCACCACCACCAUCAACACUGAUUGCAGUAUUAGCAACACAUGCUGAUUUAAUCCACAUGUCCCAUUAAUGUGCAGCAUUCAAGACUAUAUAAAACUACCACCUAGUGAUCCCGUUGGCUUAGAGACUGGCAAUGCUUCUCAUCCAAAGAAUGGAGCAACUUCAACAUGUGCACGUGCAGAGAUGCGCUUUCCAGAAACAUCAAAUGCAGGCCGCACUGGUGACUCCUACAGUCACUGCUUUGCCAAAACAAGUUUUCAUAAAGCAAAUGAAUGUUUUGAGGUAGAAAAAAAAACAUGGAAUCUAUAAGCACAGUUAAUUUUGAGUGAACUGAGUGAUAUUUGUCAUGAUUCCUGGAAUGGCAUAUGACAAUAAAGAGUUGCUUAUGUUUUGUCUUCA